AAUGCCAGUCUCCGAGAACAAUAUCCAGCCUUGUAUAACAUUGCUCGCGAUAAGAACAAUACUAUUGCGCAGAUGCUCAGCUCAUCCCCGACGAAUAUUUUGUUCAGGCGGGAUUUGGUUGGCGCCCGACUUAUGUCAUGGCAUAAUCUCUUAUCCCGUCUGGAUCUGAUUAACCUGACGCAAGGCCGUGAUGUGUUUCGCUGGAACCUUACUACAUCGGGGUCUUUUACGGUAGAUUCUAUGUAUCGUGCGCUCACGCAUUCUGAGGUACCGGAGAGCAAUAACAAAAAAAAUCUGAAAGACAAAGAUUCCACUAAAAGUUAA
rnacentral:rRNA from 1 species